UACGGAGGAUGCGAGCGUUAUCCGGAUUUAUUGGGUUUAAAGGGUGCGCAGGCGGUCUGUUAAGUCAGCGGUCAAAGCCCGGGGCUCAACCCCGGCCCGCCGUUGAAACUGGCAGUCUCGAGUUGGAGAGAAGUAUGCGGAAUGCGCGGUGUAGCGGUGAAAUGCAUAGAUAUCGCGCAGAACUCCGAUUGCGAAGGCAGCAUGCCGGCUCCACACUGACGCUGAGGUACGAAAGCGUGGGUAGUCGAA
rnacentral:rRNA from 1 species